UGUGAGCAGACCUUCACUUGGACUUGAGGCCUUCACCCCUGCAGGUGUCUCCAGAAGGCUCUGGAACUGACUCGGGCCUGGCUCCCCUCACAGGAGGCUGAGGCCCUGGGUCUGCUGGGACUUGUGUUCACAGAGGCGCUGGGAUGGACCUGCUGGUGGCCCCGGCCAGGCCACUCCUCCCUCCAGGUGGGAGCUUAGCUGGGGCGGGACCCCCACCUCCCCGGGUGAGCAUUGCCGGCCGGUAGCCUUGGGCAGGCACCCAGGAGAGGCCCCUGGCCUGAACUCCUCUCACACCUGACUCUGGUACCUCUGAGCCCCAGGGUAGGUGGCUGAGUCAUCUCCCCAGCUGGCACCCCAAAUACCUUCUCCCCUUUUCCCAUCCCAAUUCUGCAUUCGAGUCCUUCACUAAAAAUACAUACUUGGCAAAGAUUUUUCUCCCAGUCAGGGCUUGUCUUUUUAUUCUCUUAAUAGUGUCAGAAGAUACUAUUAAGUGUCAAAACUUCUGUUCAAAAGAGCGGAAGUUCAUUCUUUCCCUCCCUUUAUUCUAGUCUGACAAUCCACAUCUUUUUAUUGGGGGUGUUUAGACUAUUACAUUUAAUGUAAUUAGUGAUGUGGCCAGGUGAAAAGCUACCAUCUUGCUACUUGUUUUCUGUUCCUUCCAUCUGUUCUUUGUCUUUCUUUUCUGCCUUCUUUUGGAUUGACUAUUUUUCCACAGUUCAGUUUUAUCUCCUUGUUUGCUUAUCUGCCAUAACUUUUUAUUAUUUUAGUAGUUGUCUUAGAGUUUAUAGUAUGUCUACAACCUACUGUAGUCUCCUUUCCAAAGAUAUUAUCACAUUCCAUAUAUAGAAGAAGAACCUUCCAGGCUGGGCACGGCGGCUUACGCCUGUAAUUCCAACACUAUGGGAGGCCAAGGUGGGAGGAUCACCUGAGGUCAGGAGUUCGAGACCAGCCUGGCCAACGUGGUGAAACCCCAUCUCUACUAAAAAUACAAAAAUUAGCUGGGUGUGGUGGUGGGCACCGGUAAUCCCAGCUACUCGGGAGGCCCAGGCAGGAGAAUUGCUUGAACCCGGGAGACAGAGGCUGCAGUGAGACAAGAUCGUGCCACUGCAUUCCAGCCUGGGUGACAGAACAAGACUCCAUCUCAAAAAAAAAAAAAAAAAAGGUGCCUCACAGCUCCCUUCUCUUGGGUUGUGCAAUUCUUGUCACCCAUUUUGUGUCCACACACGAUUCACACCGCACUGCAUUGUUGGUAUUUUUGUUUAAUUAAUUAUUUUUUAAAGAGGCUUAAAUAGUAAAAAAACUUCUAUAUUUACCCAUACAAUUACUAUUUCAAAUGCAUUAUUCCAUCGUGUAGAUCCAUAUUUCUUUUUUCUUUUCUUUUUUUUUUUGAGAUGGAGUCUCGCUCUGUCACCCAGGCUGGAGUGCAGUGGCGUGAUCUUGGCUCCCUGCAACCUCCACCUCCCGGGUUCAAGUGAUUCUCCUGCCUCAGCC
rnacentral:lncRNA from 1 species